UGCGGGGUGUAGUGUGGGAGACGAUACUAGUCACUCCUCCUCGUCUUCAGCACUACUCUAAUCCCUCAUUGGAAGCCUUGAAAUGACAGCUCUGUCAAAGCAUGCAGUUUAGACAGGUCAUUCCCCCAGCGCUCCCCUGGACUCCAUUCUGAGGAUUUUCUUCCAUUACUGAAUGCUCUUCACAACUGUCAAAAGCUGAUGGCUUUUUUGUCGAAACACAAGAGAGAAAACGGCUGAGCAGAGAAGUGAGACGUGUAUAUGAAAUGGCACAUGGAGACCUCAGUCACCACCUCUGAAGGGCUCAUCUGGGGACAGCGGGAGACGCAGAUGGAAAGGGACAUUCAUAAACU
ensembl:lncRNA